GACGAACGCUGGCGGCGUGCUUAACACAUGCAAGUCGAACGGUGAACGAGGGAGCUUGCUCCCUCCGGAUCAGUGGCGAACGGGUGAGUAACACGUGAGCAAUCUGCCCCGAACUCUGGGAUAAGCGUUGGAAACGACGUCUAAUACCGGAUACGACGCGGGAGGGCAUCCUCUCCGCGUGGAAAGAACUUCGGUUCGGGGUGAGCUCGCGGCCUAUCAGCUUGUUGGUGAGGUAACGGCUCACCAAGGCGACGACGGGUAGCCGGCCUGAGAGGGUGACCGGCCACACUGGGACUGAGACACGGCCCAGACUCCUACGGGAGGCAGCAGUGGGGAAUAUUGCACAAUGGGCGCAAGCCUGAUGCAGCAACGCCGCGUGAGGGACGAAGGCCUUCGGGUUGUAAACCUCUUUUAGCAGGGAAGAAGCGAAAGUGACGGUACCUGCAGAAAAAGCACCGGCUAACUACGUG
rnacentral:rRNA from 1 species